rnacentral:rRNA from 1 species
UACAGGGGGUGCAAACGUUGCUCGGAAUUAUUGGGCGUAAAGCGCGCGUAGGCGGCCACUUAAGUCGGAUGUGAAAGCCCCUGGCUCGACUGGGGAAGUGCACCCGAAACUGAAUGGCUUGAAUGCAAAAGAGGGUCGCGGAAUUCCCGGUGUAGAGGUGAAAUUCGUAGAUAUCGGGAGGAACACCGGUGGCGAAGGCGGCGACCUGGGUUGACAUUGACGCUGAGGCGCGAAAGCGUGGGGAGCAAACAGG